rnacentral:lncRNA from 1 species
GGAUGAACUGCAUUUCAGAAAGUUGAUUGAUUGGCUGUCCCAUUUUGGAAGAAGUAGAACCAUCUGUUUUAGAGAGAGAGAAAGAAGAGAGUGCUCCAUUUUCUAUUUGAAAGAAACUCACCACUUAAAAUCCAGUGUAAUUACACACAGUGUUAUAUUAGUUUCAAGUUUACAAUAUAGUGAUUCAACAAUUCUAUACACUACUCAGUGCUCAUCAUGGUAAGUGUGCUCUUUAUGCCCUUCUGGUAACUAUA